rnacentral:tRNA from 1 species
GGAGAAGUACCCAAGUGGUGAAGGGGCUCCCCUGCUAAGGGAGUAGGCGUGUAACAGCGCGCAAGGGUUCAAAUCCCUUCUUCUCCGCCA